rnacentral:rRNA from 1 species
CCNAUGUAUGCUUUGGAAACUGUUAGACUUGAGUGCAGAAGGGGAGAGUGGAAUNCCAUGUGUAGCGGUGAAAUGCGUAGAUAUAUGGAGGANCACCGGUGGCGAAAGCGGCUCUCUGGUCUGUCACUGACGCUGAGGCUCGAAAGCGAGGGUAGCGAACAGGAUUAGAUACCCUGGUAGUNCACGCCGUAAACGCUGAGUGCUAGGUGUUAGGUCCUUUCCGGGACUUAGUGCCGACGCUAACGCAUUAAGCACUCCGCCUGGGGAGUACGACCGCAAGGUUGAAACUCAAAGGAAUUGACGGGGGCCCGCACAAGCGGUGGAGCAUGUGGUUUAAUUCGAAGCAACGCGAAGAACCUUACCAGGUCUUGACAUCCCGAUGCCCGCUCUAGAGAUAGAGUUUUUCUUCGGGACAUCGGAGACAGGUGGUGCAUGGUUGUCGUCAGCUCGUGUCGUGAGAUGUUGGGUUAAGUCCCGCAACGAGCGCAACCCUUAUUGUUAGUUGCCAUCAUUAAGUUGGGCACUCUAGCGAGACUGCCGGUAAUAAACCGGAGGAAGGUGGGGAUGACGUCAAAUCAUCAUGCCCCUUAUGACCUGGGCUACACACGUGCUACAAUGGUUGGUACAACGAGUCGCGAGCCGGUGACGGCAAGCUAAUCUCUGAAAGCCAAUCUCAGUUCGGAUUGUAGGCUGCAACUCGCCUACAUGAAGUCGGAAUCGCUAGUAAUCGCGGAUCAGCACGCCGCGGUGAAUACGUUCCCGGGCCUUGUACACACCGCCCGUCACACCACGAGAGUUUGUAACACCCAAAGUCGGUGAGGUAACCAUUUAUGGGGCCAGC